UUGGGAAAAUGAACUGUAAUAUAAUGCGGUCUUUUAAAAAUCAAGUUUCUGAAAAUUUCACCAGAUGGAGAAAUACUGACAAUAUGCUAAUUAAAUUCACUAUUAAUCUUGAUGUAAAAUCUGUGUUAAUCUCCAUGAUGUUAAAAAUGCAUAGAAAAAUAAAAAGCCUAGAAGAAAAUAUUCCCAAAUGACAACAGAAGUUGCCUCUGGUAGUGAGAUUACAGGAGAUUCUUUAUUUUCUGAACCUUUGUAUUUUCAUAUUCUUUUCACUUUUUUUCUGCAGUAAGCAUGCAUUAUUUUGUAAUGUGAAAGAAAAAGAAAGUAAAAUACUGAGAAAAUUAUGACGUGCAUUCCUGGCAUGAGUCAGGAGCUGAAUUUUCAUGUUUAAAUUAGUUUCAGAAACACAGGAGUGGUUUCUAGGCAACCUGCUUGGGAAAUUAUGUUCAUUUCCAUUGUUGCUGGAGUGUGCGUGAGUGUCUGAAAGAAAAUGUAAGAGACGAACCUUUGCAAAAGCAGACUCCUGCUAAGGAAAAAUAAGCUUUGCCACCCAGUUUUGGUCAUGGGGACUUGAGUUACUGUGACCUCAGAGGCCCCUAGGGGCCUGAUCAUUUUUUUUCUUUCUUUUUUCCUCCAUCUUUUCUUUUCUUUUCUUUCUUUCUUCCUUCCUUUUUCUUUGCUUGCUUUUUUUUUUUUCAAAUGAGUGAUUGAUUUUAAUGAGGAUUGCUAUAGGAUGCUAUAGGAUGCUAUAGGAAUGUCUAAUGUACAGUACAUUAGACAUUCAAGCCUCUGCAUAAGGUGUGGGAAACUGAGAGGGGAGAGAGAAUCAAGCAAAAACCCCCACUCUGUGCCUCUGCUGAGAAUCCAGGGCUGUAAUUGAGGCCGUUGCAAGGCUUUACAAGACGGAUUGUAGCUCAGGAUGUGAAAAGAUUGCCUCAUCAUCAUGCUCCAAUAUGGCUCAGAAAGGCACUGAGAAAACCUAGCCUUAGCUAGGCUAAGAGCCUAGCUUCUGGCCUGGCUUUUACGUGGUCAGCGGAUGUGCGUCCAUCCCCCUGCACUGGUUCCCCUUGUCCUUUCUGUGGCUCUCCUGGAUUCCUCUCGUUCAGCUCCUUGGUGUACAGAGCCUAUGUCAAUGGCAAUGGUGAGGGAAAUUGCCAGAGCCCUGCCCUCCAGGCCUGUCCUUAUUCAUGGGGAUCUGAGAAGAAGAGAUUAGGACCCAGACAUGCACAGAGGAGACCCUGUAAGGACACAAAGAGAAGACAGCCAUCUGCAAGCCAAGAAGAAAGGCCUUGGGGGAAACCAGCCCUGCCCACACCUUGGUCUGGACUUCCAGCUGAUUCUUGGAUGAGCUGGUCCUUAGGCACGGAGGCAGGACUGUGAGAAAAUAAAUUUCUGUUUUUAAUUCACC
rnacentral:lncRNA from 1 species